rnacentral:lncRNA from 1 species
GAUAAGAUAAGAGAAAAGUGACUUAACAUAGAAAAUAUCGUUAAAUUGAGGAGUAAAAUCCCAAUGUUUGAAACCUUUGGGCAGCAAAUUUCAAUUAUGUAAAUUAAAGACGUACUCAUCAAAUUUAUCACCGGAAAAGUGUAAGAAAAUACUGAAGUCAAUUAGGAAGGUGACUGCUUCUGGACAGAUAGGGGAGAGAGAGGGAUGGGUUGUUUUGCUUGCUUUGAUGGAGGGAAACACCAGAUAAAGGAAGAAGACCGUUUAGCCUCCCAAGAAGCUCGAGCUAAAGCCGCCGAAGCCGCCGAGAAGAGGCAUUUUUUCUCUCUCUCCCUCUUUCUCUUUCUUUCUCCAUUUGUCAAUUAUCAAUCGUUUCCCUUUGAAUUGAUUUUUAUUUUUUAUGAAUCAAUAGAUGGUAAUCUACGAUUUUCUUAUUCAGCUAUGUCCGUCCGUAAUCACUAUAAUGCAAUCUGUUAUCUGUUUUCAACGAGUUUAGUUACCUUGCAAGAUUGCUAGGGGUUUUUGUAUUGUUUGGGAUUUCAAAAUUUGAUCACCCAAACCGGAAACUUGUUAAGUUCUGUAAUAAUUCAAUACAGCAUGAUCAAGGCAAGGGUAAGGAGUUGAUUUUCAGUUAUGGGUUUCUAUUUUAGAUUUUUUUGUGGAUUCUAAUGGAAAAACCAAUUUUUGCAUUACUUUAACUCUAUUUUUUCUUAAGAUUUAAAAUGAGCUUUUGCCUACUGGCUACAAACUGUCGAUAUAGUUACUUGUUUUAAUUUCCUGGAUAGUGAUUUUUAGCAUAUUGCUUUUGGAAGGAAUACGGAUAAUUUAUCAUUAUGGUGGGUAUUCCAAUCAAAUACCUCUGACAAAAAUUUGACCACCCUUAUAGAAAAUACCUUUGGAAGAUGGAAAUAGUGGAUUUUGUCCUUAUCAAGCCUGUCCUUGGCAUUUCUCUCUUGGGAAGUGAACACAAGGCUCCAAUUAUUCAUGAUAUUGGAUUUUGUCUAGAAGUAUGGAAAAAAGUUAUCCUAUAUUAGCAAAUAAGCAAGAAAGAGAUGUGGACAUCUAAGUGAUGGAGGUAUCAAUCAAGGAGUAGAGUACUCAACUCAACAAAGGCUUUUUAUCCCGAGCUAGUUGGAGAAGGUUGAAAAUGAUUCCCGUAUAUAAUAAUGGAAAGAAGUGCAAGGUUAUAAAUAAAAUAAAUAAAAUUGAGUGCAUAGAAUUAAAGUUUCCUUGAUGCAAUUUGAUGUUCAAGUUAUGAGAUUUUAUCAACGAGUCAAGUAUUGCAAGGCUACACGAAGGCAUGUAAAUACUUGUGUCAACUCGUAUGCCGAAUUGCAAAGGGCAGUGGCACAUGAGAGUAGACCAUGCACUAUUGUUAUUGUUUAUGCCCUCUAUGCAUUGGCAGAUUUUGUUUCACUUAAUGAACUUAGAUCCAUUUCUUUUAUAUCAGUAUAUCCAGUAAUAGGAAUUAAUUUGGAUUAGCCUCUAAAUGAUACUGUGUAACCAAGUCAACUAUGGCACAAUUGCAGGCAAGAGCAAUUUUAUAAGUCCGCUGCAGGAAGAGCUGCACAUGCACAGCUAGCAGCUGCUGCAAAACAAUCUGCUAACACUAACAAAGGGGAACCUGUUCUUAAGGUAUUAUUGAUCAUUGUUUCCAUUUUAUAGGUUACACUGCUUGCACUUAUGAUUCUUUAUACGAUUUUUAUGAUUUCAUUCCCCCUACUCUUAUAUUUAUUUACUAUGAAAGUAAGUAUAUACAUGUUUAGAGUGCCACUGCUCGGGUUUUCUAAGGAGUAUGAAUUUUCCAGAAAGUAAUAACUGAGUUUGAUUCUUUAUUGAUUUAUUCACUUAUAAUGUGUACACAGUGGCAAAUGGGAUGAGGGGAGUAGCUUCUGAGCUUAGUUUGGCCAUUUAUUGUAGGUAUGCGUAAGUAUUUUUUUACUUCAACUGAUUUAUUUACUUAUGUGGUGCUCAAUGAGCAUCCUUGUGUAUGUGUUUACUAGUCAAUUCUUACUUUAAGAUCCAUUAAAUUAAUUAGUCAUCUUGAUGACCUUUGCAGUAAUUGUAAACUUGCAUACACUUAAAAUGCAUUUAAACAACAAAGAAUGAGAUAUACAUAGAAUAAAAGGCAGUUAAGAUCCUUUUGUCUUCUUUGAUCUGUGUGUUAUUGCUAAGAACUAUUAGUAUUUGAAUCAUCAAAAGUGUGCAAUGAGCUGACAGUAUGCUGCUCUAGUCAUAGCAUUGACUCUGUCUUUGGAGUAUUUUAGUCCUGUUUCUGGCAGUUCUUGCCACUGAACCUUUUUGUAAUUCUAAAACUAAUGAAUAAUUAUUAGUCAUAUCUGAUGAAUUAGUCCCUGUUGUACAACAUUGAACUCUGUUCUAAUAACAUAUGCAACUUUUCGUGAUCCUUGAAUGAACCCUGAAAUCUGAGACUUGUUAUCAGUUUAUGGUUGCUGUCCUAUCUCCACAUCUGCACCUGGAUGAAGAUUUCCUGAAUUUAGUAAUCUCACAGAACUGAUUCAGCUUUAUGUGGAUAAUUUGUAACAAAAACUUAGAUUAGAGGACCGCAUGUGCAUUGCUGAAAGUAGGCAUAGCUUGUUAACAGUUGAAACCUCGUUAUUUUGUUUUCUUCUAUGCAGCGUAUAUAUGGAAGGAAUAAACCUGAUCUGCUUAUCACGAUCUUUUUUGUAUCAGACCUGAGUUGAAUAUGCCUCUGCCGUGAAGGUUUCUCUAAUGCCAGAUAAACUGGAAAUAAAGCAGAUAAAUGAGAUCUUGUGCUUGUCUAUUUAUAAGUUGUGUAUAGUAAAGCUUGUAAUAUGAGUUUAUAUUGGAUUCUGUGUGUUUCAUCUUUCCAAAAUAGUAAGAUUAUAUCAUAUGUUUGAGAAAUGGGAGGUGGUGCAGGGUGCUCCCCAUGUAUAUAUUAUCAAUUUCCAUUGAAUAUCUGGUUUUGACUUGAGUUUAUUUCUUAUUUUGCAGUCUGUUGGACAAUGCUACAAAUUCAAAUUAAUUAAGGAAAUUAUAUAAAUGAGAUUGGAAGUGAAAAAUAUUUCAAAUUUUUUUGAAAGAUCGUGUUAAAAUAUUAGUAUUUUAUUGAACCAACAAAUAAGAAAUAUGUUGAUAGGAGAGAGGAAGUGAUGCUUCUAAUGAGAC